GGAGGAAGGAGCCGUUUGCUUAUUCAUUCAAGCAAAUGAGGGUGUCCUCGGCGGCAAAAUUCACCAGACUCAGAAAACUGCCCUGCCCCGUGACUUCCAUCUGCUCCUCUCCUGAUAAUUGUAAAAGCCAAUGAAGAUUGUGCUUCUUAACUACACAUCAGCCGGCUGAUUGUAAGUGUUGGGAAUAUAAUUAGGGGUACACGGCUCUGACCCUCACUCUUCGUAGGUUUAACAAGAUUGGACUUACGCAAUGGCAAGAAGGAAACCGAGAUUGAAAAUGACCAAUUUUGCUGGUUGAGAGGCGUCUUGUUUUCUGGAAGAAACUGAGAAUCUGCAGUUGUAGACUGGGAAUGCUAGAACCUCUGGAGUGGCAUCAACUCGAUCGGGGGCCAAAACCAUGAGAAAGCACCAAUAUUUUCCACCGUUUUUAACCAAACUCGGCUGUUGUUGGUCUAAAACCUGCCCUGGGUUUUGAGGGAGCGGUGCUUUUGUGAGCCCAGCUUGCCUUGAGUGCAUGGAUGGGAACCUGAAACCAGCCAGUCUUGCCUCCCACCCUCUCAACUUUUCCAGUAAAAAAUGUGACGGGCACUUUUUUUCCAGUAAAACUGUUCCCCCAGCAGGACAGCCUAUAUGCAGCUAGGUUCCUGGCAAAUGAGCAGGGAAUAAUAGCUGGCUAGAGGUGGGCGGGACUGAAAUACAGCUGUCCACCUCUCCGGAAAACAUCACCCAGGGUUCUCCCCAUCCCCAUCUGAC
rnacentral:lncRNA from 1 species